GUUUUAUCAGAGUCCAUAUAGAUGUUCAAACAGCAACUAGAUGCAUACUUGCAAAAACAGAAUAUUGAAGGAUAUCAUUUUUCAAUGUAGGGUAAUAGCUGCUUGAUCCAAGGAUAAAUCUGACUGCCAUUCUGGGGUCAAGAAGGAAUUUUUUUCCUAAUUUGUUGCAAAAUUGGAAGUGUUUCAAACAGGGUUUUUUGCCUUCUUUUGGAUCAACAGCAAAAACAAAUUUGAGGAAGGCUGAACUUGAUGGACGCAAG